AGUGAACGCUGGCGGUAGGCCUAACACAUGCGAGUCGAACGGCAGCACAGUAAGAGCUUGCUCUUACGGGUGGCGAGUGGCGGACGGGUGAGGAAUACAUCGGAAUCUACUUUUUCGUGGGGGAUAACGUAGGGAAACUUACGCUAAUACCGCAUACGACCUACGGGUGAAAGCAGGGGAUCUUCGGACCUUGCGCGAUUGAAUGAGCCGAUGUCGGAUUAGCUAGUUGGCGGGGUAAAGGCCCACCAAGGCGACGAUCCGUAGCUGGUCUGAGAGGAUGAUCAGCCACACUGGAACUGAGACACGGUCCAGACUCCUACGGGAGGCAGCAGUGGGGAAUAUUGGACAAUGGGCGCAAGCCUGAUCCAGCCAUACCGCGUGGGUGAAGAAGGCCUUCGGGUUGUAAAGCCCUUUUGUUGGGAAAGAAAAGCAGCAGGUUAAUACCCCGCUGUUCUGACGGUACCCAAAGAAUAAGCACCGGCUAACUUCGG
rnacentral:rRNA from 1 species